AUUGAACGCUGGCGGCAGGCCUAACACAUGCAAGUCGAGCGGAGCGGCGGACGGGUGAGUAAUGCCUAGGAAUCUGCCUGGCAGUGGGGGAUAACGUCCGGAAACGGGAGCUAAUACCGCAUACUAUCAGAUGAGACUAGGCCGGAUUAGCUCGUUGGUGGGGUAACGGCCUACCAAGGCGACGAUCCGUAACUGGUCUGAGAGGAUGAGCAGUCACACUGGAACUGAGACACGGUCCAGACGCCUACGGGAGGCAGCAGUGGGGAAUAUUGGACAAUGGGGGAAAGCCUGAUGCAGCAAUGCCGCGUGUGUGAAGAAGGUCUUCGGAUUGUAAAGCACUUUAAGUUGGGAGGCGUUACCAACAGAAUAAGCACCGGCUAACUUCGUGCCAGCAACCGCGGUAAUUC
rnacentral:rRNA from 1 species